rnacentral:rRNA from 1 species
CCUACGGGGGGCUGCAGUGGGGAAUAUUGCACAAUGGGGGAAACCCUGAUGCAGCAACGCCGCGUGAGCGAUGAAGGCCUUCGGGUCGUAAAGCUCUAUCCUAAGGGAAGACUAUUGACGGUACCUUAGGAGGAAGCCCCGGCUAACUACGUGCCAGCAGCCGCGGUAAUACGUAGGGGGCUAGCGUUAUCCGGAAUUACUGGGCGUAAAGGGCGCGUAGGCGACCCGUCAAGUAAGAGGUGAAAGGCUACGGCUAAACCGGAGUAAGCCUGGAAAACGGUAGGGCGUGAGUGCAGGAGAGGAUGGUGGAGUUACCAGUGUAGCGGUGAAAGGGGUAAAUAUAGGGAGGAACACCGGUGGCGACGGCGGUUUAUUGGACUGUAACUCAUGAUGAGGCACGAAAGCGUGGAGGGUGAACAGGAUUUCAUACCCUUGUAGUC